UAGGGAAUCUUCGGCAAUGGACGGAAGUCUGACCGAGCAACGCCGCGUGAGUGAAGAAGGUUUUCGGAUCGUAAAGCUCUGUUGUUAGAGAAGAACGUUGGUAGGAGUGGAAAAUCUACCAAGUGACGGUAACUAACCAGAAAGGGACGGCUAACUACGUGCCAGCAGCCGCGGUAAUACGUAGGUCCCGAGCGUUGUCCGGAUUUAUUGGGCGUAAAGCGAGCGCAGGCGGUUCUUUAAGUCUGAAGUUAAAGGCAGUGGCUUAACCAUUGUACGCUUUGGAAACUGGAGGACUGGAGUGCAGAAGGGGAGAGGGGAAUUCCAGGUGUAACGGUGAAAUGCGUAGAUAUAUGGAGGAACACCGGUGGCGAAAGCGGCUCUCGGGUCUGUAACGGACGCUGAGGCUCGAAAGCGUGGGGAGCAAACAGG
rnacentral:rRNA from 1 species